rnacentral:rRNA from 1 species
GGACAACCUGCCCUCGGGAGGGGGAUAACCCCGGGAAACUGGGGCUAAACCCCCAUAGGGGAUGGAUACUGGGAUGUUCCAUCUCCGAAAGUCCGCAAGGAGCCCGAGGAUGGGUCUGCGGCGGAUUAGGUAGUUGGUGGGGUAACGGCCCACCAAGCCUAAGAUCCGUACGGGCCAUGGGAGUGGGAGCCCGGAGAUGGACCCUGAGACAAGGGUCCAGGCCCUACGGGGCGCAGCAGGCGCGAAACCUCCGCAAUGCGGGAAACCGCGACGGGGUCAGCCGGAGUGCCGAUGCUUGCAUCGGCUGUCGGGGAGCCUAAAAAGCUCUCCAAGCAAGGGCCGGGCAAGGCCGGUGGCAGCCGCCGCGGUAAUACCGGCGGCCCGAGUGGCGGUCACUAUUAUUGGGCUUAAAGCGUCCGUAGCCGGGUUGGUUAGUCUCCCGGGAAAUCUGGCCGCUCAACGGUCAGAAUUCCGGGAGAUACUGCCAGCCUAGGGACCGGGAGAGGCCGAGGGUAUUCCCGGAGUAGGGGUGAAAUCCUAUAAUCCCGGGAGGACCACCUGUGGCGAAGGCGCUCGGCUGGAACGGGUCCGACGGUGAGGGACGAAGGCCAGGGGAGCAAACCGGAUUAGAUACCCGGGUAGUCCUGGCUGUAAACGAUGCGGACUUUGUGUCGGACAAGCUAUGAGCUUGUCCGGUGCCGGAGGGAAACCGUU